ACUCAAAGGAAUUGACGGGUCCCCGCACAAGCGGCGGAGCAUGCGGCUUAAUUCGAUGCAACCCGAAGAACCUUACCUGGGUUUGACAUCAUGGGAAAAGCCGUGGAAACACGGUGUCCGAAAGGGCCCAUGACAGGUGGUGCAUGGCUGUCGUCAGCUCGUGUCGUGAGAUGUUGGGUUAAGUCCCGCAACGAGCGCAACCCUUGUCCUAUGUUGCCAGCGGUUCGGCCGGGGACUCAUAGGAGACUGCCGGGGAUAACUCGGAGGAAGGUGAGGACGACGUCAAGUCAUCAUGCCCCUUAUAUCCAGGGCUGCACGCAUGCUACAAUGGUCGGUACAACGGGCAGCGAUCCUGCGAAGGUGAGCGAAUCCCACAAAGCCGGCCUCAGUUCGGAUUGGAGUCUGCAACUCGACUCCAUGAAGUCGGAGUCGCUAGUAAUCGUGGAUCAGCAAAGCCGCGGUGAAUGCGUUCUCGGGGAUUGUACACACCGCCCGU
rnacentral:rRNA from 1 species